rnacentral:tRNA from 1 species
ACCAGAAUGCUGGAGUAGGUCACCGGGUUCUGGUUGUUGUCCAGUACCAGGAUGUUGAAGUCCUUCUUCUGUUGC